rnacentral:lncRNA from 1 species
AUUUAAGAAGAAUCUUGUGCCCUGCUGAAGCAGUCCUAUAGGAGACUACUAGGCUAAGUACUUGAGAGCUCCUGGGAACUAGCCAGUACCUCUUCCCUAAAGAUCUUGAUGUUCACCUCCUCCUCUGUAUGUGCAGAUACUAUGAAGAUGGAUGAUCACACAUAGCCUGAACCCAGCAGUUUCAACGGCAUUGCAUGAGAAGGGACAGAUGCUGCAAAACAAAUGUAGACAGCCUAAUAUUCUGUAACUGAGUUCAACUGCUGAAGGUAACUUCAAAGAAUCCUGGUUCAAAUUCAGGUCUGGAGUUCAUCAGAAAUUUGAAAUGCUUUCCCAAGAUACCAGAAUGAGCAAAAUCUUAUGUGGAUGUCAGAGGAAGAAAAUGACAUUAGACGAGUGUUAUUUUAUGCCCGAAGUAUACCACUUUACAUGGUGGCUUUUAGAAUUCUGGUUUACAGAAAACUCUUCUUGUUAGAGAGAGAAAAUAGGGGGGCCAAUUAAAGAAUCAAACUCCUUCCUUAAAAUGUACCAGAAUCUUAACAAAGUCCACUAAAACAUGACUUUUCGGAGGACAUUAGCAAUUGUUAGUUGAAAUGCCAAGUAAACCACUAAAACUUUCCAGUCAUGUUAUGUCAUUCUUCCUAAUUAAAGUUUAUGAUCUGUCAGGGCAUAAUCUUAGUUAUUUAAGAACAGCAAGAUACGGCUGAUAACCACACUGGUGACCAUUUAGGUAGAAAGCUGCUCUGUUUGAGGCAAUAGGAAUCACAAAAAGACGCUCAAGUUAUCUUCAAGGUAUUGAAGGAUACUUCAUAUAUUGCAG